GAAACGCGUCGGUCUCGGUGUUUGUAGUAGUCGUCAAGUGUGCGCUCGUCGUACUUAAUAAGUGUUGUCGCUGACGCCGAGCGCUUCCGAUUUCCUUCACCGUCUGACCAAUAUUUAGGCUCACUAUUCGGUUUUUUUUUUAUUAGUAAUCUUCGUCUUAAAUUAGAGGUGAAACAAAUAAAAAGUCAGUUAGGUGAUUUUCAUCUUCGACUGAAGUUUUUUGCCCUCUCCCCCUUUCAUCAUCAAAGACGUUGAUUACCGAAUUAACGCGUGUCGCAUUCGUCAUAUACGCGUACAUGUAUGCGAAAACUCAUACUUUCGGAACGUCUCAAGCCACCACGGGCAUGCCGUCGCAGCCACCACUCAUCCGUCCCAGAUUGUUCGGGAACAAAAAGAUGGCGGGGUUUCUGCAGGAUUCUGAAGGUUCAGACUUACACGACAUGAGUUCGGUAAUCGAGGGUUUUCAGAAGAAGAACAGCGUCGGGUCUAUGGGAUCAACGACGGCGAUGGCCACGACCGCCGGCAACCAUAUGGCGUCGUCGAAGAAGAACACGUCGUCGUCGUCGUCUUCGAGUUCACGGAUGGAGUCGUCGUCGUCCACAUCGUCUACGUCAUCCUCUUUGAAGCACGUCCUGCACCGACAGGUGUCUGAAAUGACGACCACGUCAUCUGAACUUCAAAACUCUCAGCUGCUUCAGCAGCGGAUACUCAUGGACAGCGGUGACGUUUCCGCGGUCAACACCACGACCACCGAUGACGUGGAUUGCAACCUCGUCGACGGUACAGACCCGCUGGUCACGUUUCCCGAGUCACCUCCUGUUUUGGUGUCCAACGUGUCGCCACUCAUGCAUGUCUCCACCACCCGCCCCAAACCGGUUCGUGUGGCCGUGGACGGACGACUGAAACACCCGGCUGCGACCACAGCGGCGACCACCGAGCGGCGCGUGUCCACGUCCAAAUUGGUCCAAGAGGCAUAUGAGUCGUCGUCGUCGUCGUCGUCAAGCAGCAGCACCAGCAGCACAGUUUCCGAUUCGCAGGACGUGCUGAACGGUGACGUCCACAAACUACAUGCGGCCAAUACGAUCCGAGCAAAGCUCGCCGGAACUAUCGGAAGUACCAUUGCCGACCACGACACCGAGACCGCUCUGAACAAACUCCAGGAAAAAAUAUUAUUGAAAACUGGAGAACUAUCUCAACAGGAAAACCAAAACAUCAGUGCUGCCACGAUGAAAGUGCAGACCGAUUCGUUUAGUUCGGAAAAGAAAGCUUCAAGCGCACAACAACAAAGACAAACAAUAACGUCCUCAGGAAUGUUCAACCAAGAAAAACAUAUAGCUCAGUCAUCACAAUCGAACUUUACGUUCACUAAAAAAGGCAUUUGUACGAGUUCAAAAGCCGUGUCAUCUGCUACUUCACAAUCUUCUCACAACGGGUCCUCUUCUGGUGGCAGUGGUUCAUCGCCUCCAUCGACACACGUGAUUAGAAGUGUUGACGAUCUGUUAAACACUAAUUUUGAUGAUCUAGACCAGAUGCGAGAAAUAGCCAACACUCAAGAUGUGGAAAACGCCAUAAAAAAGUAUUCGCUGUACCUGGAAAACGCUGUAAAGGGACUGAUGAGUGGAAAAUAUGCAGAUGCCAAAGGCCCGAUAAUGCUCAACAAAAUGUUCGAUAUGAUUUGCAAGGCGUGGGCCGUGCCGACCUACGAGCUUGGGUACGCGUUAUGUAACACAUUCCGGGAUUGUGGUGGUAUGGAUUUGUUGAUCAACAAUUGUGUGUCUAAAGACCAAAAACUCCAGUUCUCCAGUGCCAGAUUACUGGAACAAUGUUUGACUACUGAAAAUCGCUCAUACGUAGUGGAAAACGGGCUGGAAAAAGUCGUACAUGUAGUGUGUGCAUACAAGAGUCAAGUAAGCUCGGCCGAUCAAUCUAAAGUCAGUACUGGAAUUCUUGAGCACCUAUUUAAACACAGUGAAAUGACAUGCAGCGAUGUUAUCAAACUCGGUGGCUUGGACGUAUUGCUGUACGAGUGUCGCAGACGAGACAUCGCUACCCUGAGACACUGUGCCGGUGCUCUAGCCAACCUUUCGCUAUAUGGAGGUGCUGAGAAUCAAGAACUGAUGAUCAAACGUAACGUGCCUACAUGGUUGUUCACGUUGGCGUUCAAUACGGACGAUAACAUCAAGUAUUACGCGUUUUUGGCUAUAGCUGUUUUGGUAGCCAACAAAGAAAUUGAAGCGGCCGUGCUCAAGUCUGAAACUCUGGACCUAAUCGACCCGUUCGUCACCACCCACACACCGUCGGAAUUCGCCAAGUCGAAUCUAGCCCACGCCCACGGCCAGAGUCACCAUUGGCUAGAGAGGUUGGUCCCUGUUUUGAGCUCAAUCCGGGAGGAAGCAUGCAACUUGGCCGCUUUCCACUUUUGCAUGGAGGCUGGCAUCAAAAAGCAACAAGGCAAGACCAGUAUAUUUAACGUGAUUAAUGCUGUUGAACCACUGAAAAAAGUGGCCAGUUGUCCUAACGCCAUAGCAUCCAAAUUUGCUGCCCAAGCACUGCGACUGAUCGGCGAAGAAGUACCGCAUAAACUCAGUCAAAAAGUACCAUUGUGGUCACCCGAAGACGUUCAAGAAUGGGUCAGACAGAUCGGAUUCAGCGAAUGCUCUAAAAACUUCGUGGAUAGCCGAGUAGAUGGUGACCUGUUGUUGCAGUUGACCGAGCAAAAUUUGAGGGACGACAUCGGAAUACAUAACGGAAUCAUGCGAAGAAGGUUUAUGAGAGAAAUACACAAUUUGAAACGAUUGGCGGAUUACAGUAGUAGAGACACAACAAAUUUGAACUCGUUCCUCCAGUCCAUAGGUCCAGAGUUCUCCGUGUACACUUAUUCUAUGUUAAAUGCUGGCGUUGAUAGAGAUUCCAUAAGAUUCUUAUCAGAAGACCAGCUCAUACAAGAGUGUGGAAUAUCAAAUAGCAUUCACCGGUAUAGAAUACUAGACUCGAUAAGAGACAUGGAGACGUUAAUAGAUACAUCCUCUUACGAAGAAAACAUGAAUAAGAACUUAGACGUAUUUAUCAGUUACAGAAGAUCGACUGGAUCUCAAUUAGCUAGUUUACUCAAAGUACAUCUACAACUUCGAGGAUACUCAGUAUUCAUCGACGUCGAACGUCUGGAAGCCGGCAAGUUCGACAACAAUCUAUUGCAGAGUAUUAAGCAGGCGAAAAACUUCAUAUUAGUACUGACACCAAAGUCUUUGGAUAGAUGUAUAGGCGAUAACGAAUGCAAAGACUGGGUGCACAAGGAAAUUGUGGCUGCUAUACAGGACCAGUGCAACAUCAUUCCGAUCAUGGACAACUUCGCAUGGCCUGAACCAGAAACCUUGCCGGAGGACAUGCAAAACGUGUGGAAGUUCAACGGCGUGCGAUGGAUACACGACUACCAGGAUGCGUGCGUGGAGAAGGUGGAACGGUUCAUGCGCGGUGAGCUGAAUGGGAUCCGGGAUGGUGCCAGUUCGGGACUGUCGCUGAAUCGAUCCGGCGGCGUCGGCGGUGGCAUCGGCACAUCCACCAUCAAGAGUGACCCGUCGGCGCCGAAUACGCCGCUGACCGUGGGCAGAUCACCGCCAACAUACCAGCGGACUCAGUCUAACGACAGUGAACGCGACUUGACCGGUAGCAAAGAUUGACUAGCGGGGAACACUUCCAGGUAUGGGACAGUGACCAACGUUUUGCUUUCCCGCCCGAACCGGUUACUACGUUUUGUGUCCGUCUGCUUGUUGUCGUCCACCCUGCAGCGGCCUCCGAUGACUUCACGGUUAGAUACCGGAAGUGUUCGAGAUUACCUGCUUGGAGGCCACCAAUGAGUCCAAAUGGUCGUGGAAAGUGUCGAAAACGAGCCAAAAGCGUGGAAGGUCUAUUGGAGACCACCGUCGAAUUGGAUUCACAAGUACAGGUACAGGCUCAAAUGAAAAAGGCAAAAAGCCUGGAAGAGUACUUGGACACGUGCGAAGAAGACGUCGAAGACAGCAAUAGCGUCUCGGCGUCGGUCAGCGACAGUGUAAAGAAGAAAAACUUUGUCGAUAAGUGUAUAAACAAAAUGAAAUCUUUUAUAACGACCACCAAAAAGACUUCAACGGACUCGAAAUAAUGAAUAGAUUUAUUGUAUUAUAGUGUAUACAUUUUUUUUAUGUACCUAUAUUAUAUAAUUUUCGUUUUUAAAUUUUUUUAAAUCUUAUGUUGACUCAAUAUUUAUAUAUUUUUGUAAACCUAUA